rnacentral:rRNA from 1 species
GAUGAACGCUGGCGGCGUGCCUAAUACAUGCAAGUCGAGCGAAUGGAUUAAGAGCUUGCUCUUAUGAAGUUAGCGGCGGACGGGUGAGUAACACGUGGGUAACCUGCCCAUGAGACUGGGAUAACUCCGGGAAACCGGGGCUAAUACCGGAUAACAUUUUGAACCGCAUGGUUCGAAAUUGAAAGGCGGCUUCGGCUGUCACUUAUGGAUGGACCCGGGUCGCAUUAGCUAGUUGGUGGGGUAACGGCUCACCAAGGCAACGAUGCGUAGCCGACCUGAGAGGGUGAUCGGCCACACUGGGACUGAGACACGGCCCAGACUCCUACGGGAGGCGGCAGUAGGGAAUCUUCCGCAAUGGACGAAAGUCUGACGGAGCAACGCCGCGUGAGUGAUGAAGGCUUUCGGGUCGUAAAACUCUGUUGUUAGGGAAGAACAAGUGCUAGUUGAAUAAGCUGGCACCUUGACGGUACCUAACCAGAAAGCCACGGCUAACUACGUGCCAGCCGCCGCAGUAA